CAUGGGCAUAGUAGUAGGCACUGCAGCAAAUAGGAGCGGAUGCCCAGCAGCCGGUGGCGGCCAUGGAUGUAAUACAGGUAAGAGGUAAAACUACAAAGAUGGAUAAGUACUCAGUGGCUCAUCGUGUCCUGAUAAUCCUUGAUAUUUUUGCUUGGAAGCCGGACUGAUUAUAGCUCUAUUACUGUCAUGUUUGCUAUUUCAGCAAAAAAAAAAAAAAAUUGCCAAUAUUUCUUUGGUGCCGCUACAUGCCAACAUGAACCUUUCAUUUUAUUGGAUUUGCCCUCCUUAUUAACUUCAAAAUCUGUAACUUUCUUCGUAGAUGAAAACAGAUGCAAUAGUCCUCCCACUUAGCUGAAUAUAGCUAUCUACUAUCUGAAUUUAUUUACAUGGCGUGACUCCUAUUUUCAUGUCAUCUUUCCUGAUAUCGCUGGGAGUAAAUUCGGAAUCCUUUUGCAAUAUCUGUGCCGACCUCGCGGAACAGUCCGGCUGCCAGGCAACAUCUGAGGAUCCUUGCCGCCGCCUCCCGCGGCCCUCGCUCGCACGGCGUCACCGCUGCUCACUCGGAAUCCAGCUCCCCCUCCACCCACAGCCCUCAUGCUGCCAGGGUGGCGGUGGAGCCAAUACCUGCUGCCCUCCUCAUCGCAUCGAACCGGUACAGCGAGGUUUCUGUGAGAAAUAGUCCACCACCGCUCUCCCUCUCUUUCACGACAACGGCUAACGAUUUCGAUCUGGAUUUUGGGGUGCAUGUUCUUGCGUUUCUGGUAGGAUGGUGGCCUUGUAGAGGCGUGGAAGUAACCACAGGUGGAGAUUGAUGGUGUUACAGAUCUCAACAGCGCGUGGGGAUGUGUGUCCUCAGCCCGAGCUAGGCAUCCAUGUCGGCGACCUCACCGUCUCCAGCCCGUCCCCUGAUUAAUUGUAAGGAUAUGUUACUUCAGAGAGACGUUGUGUAAAUGUAGGUCUGGUACUUCUAUCUACAAUCUGCACCCUUAGUGUUCUUUGUCAAGAAAUCUUCAAGUCUUGAAUUUCUGUCAUCUUCUACAUAGCCCACUCCCAUCUAUUGUUGUUUAGGCGAUCCUCGAUAAUGGAUGUAGGGAAUUAGUGGACGCUGAAUUGAUGGAUACAUUGGAUGGUUGGUUUCUCGAUUGGUGUGCUUAGAUUGAUGGUCAACUGUGUCUAUGAAAUAAUUUUGAGAUGGACAGAGCAUGCAUACAUCGAGAGGUGUUGCAGUGUGUACCCAAGACAAUGACUUGCAAUGUAGUAGUGGUUCUCAUCCAAUCAUUCAUCUCUCAUGUAAUUAUAAAAUAUGGAGGCAUUUUUACCUUUGCUGUUUCAUACCUUACUUCAUUUACUUGGACUAUCAAUGCACAUGCUUUCCUUCUCAAUUUCAGCAUUUUUCCAUGAUACCAUACCUCAAAUUUGAUGGUGCCAACUGCCAAUUAACUUCAGAAAUAUCUGGUACAUGUCCAUAAGUUCUGGUAGGACUGUAGGAAUCAAAAAAUCACUCUGUUUAGAACACUUAUUAUAAGGAUUUCCAUGCUUUUGAAAACUUUAAAUAUAUAAUUAAUGUAAAAUCAAAGUUUACAAUAGGUAUUCUGUUUGCGGGGUCAAAAGCAUUGUUAUUCAUCGAGGGACACCUAUACCAUAUAUUGCACCAGUCAGGUUUUUAGUACCCACUGAUAAAUAUUCCGUCUGCCUUUUGAUAAUAUGGUUGUUGAUUUUCAUUGAUCUUAUGGUCAUACCAUUGUUGGUAAUACAUACAUCUUGCUGGUAGCUAGCUCGGACACAAGUAAUGCUAAUAUUCAAUCAAGAAAACGUUCUCUAUCACUGCUUAUCCUAAUCCUUUUGUUCCAACGGGUGUAAUUCUUUUGCGGACUCACAUCGAGCUUGUGGUGUCUGCUGGUUUUGUUCUAUUUUUCGAUGUUGUUGCUGGUCCUUCUCAUGCUAUAGGUGAGGUGGAAUUUUCUCUGCUUUGGUUGGCUGGUUAUUCAAUACUUCAUUUGUUAGUCCGCCGUUGCACAUGGUUGGCUUUCGCUGAUUAGUUCAUUAUAUUGUCGUGUUUCAGCUUUUGGUCAUGUGUGCUGGACAACAUUGCCAGCGGGUCACAAGGGCCGGGAAGGAAACGGCGUGGAAUGGGCGAUCCCGAGGGUGCAGAGGUGCUUUGAGCUCGGCCUCUCUGACCACCAGCUCCUAAAGUUCAGUUACGCGUAUGUAAUUAUGGUUCAGUUCCAUGCACCAAUCAUGGAGACCUCUACCAAGUCGUUCUCGCCAUUUGGUACGGAGGUCUUUCUCCUCGACAUGAAACUCGCAUCUGAAUCUGUCCCCAUGGAUUUGGGAGCCCCCGACCUAAUUUACCGUGUUCGCAUCCAGGUAACACACACCAGUGAUAUCACCGAUCCUCCUUGAUUUUACAGAGUUCAUAUAGGAUGCCUCUUUUGCUGGUAACAAAUGAAGUAUAAACUUUUUGUCUGUUGUUUUACUUGAGGGACAUGACAUAUUAGGUUUUAGUUUUCAUAUAUGACCAAUAUUGACCGAUUCCGUAAUACUGAUGCACCUUCUAAGAAUGCAAACAUGCUCUUUUCAUGUUAUGGUUUAUGCCGGAACGCAUAUUGCAUUAUUCUUAAGGCUGAUUAUAGAAGUUGCAGUAUUGUUAUGUAACAUACUUACCAAUGAAGAAUUGGUAAAUCGCUUGAUUAUCAAUCUUUAUCUUUUUUGGUAGAGAGUCUAUAAGUGUUUAGUCUUCUUUAUUCAAAAUUUUAUAACAUUUGCAUUUUUGUUUCUGAAAUUGACAUGGUCCGGAUAAUCUUUCGAGAGGAUAAAACAUGACAGAAGGAACAAUAUGUUCUGUAAGAUCUUGAGCUCAUGUAUACUAUGGUAGUGUUUAUAAUCUCUGGUAGUGUUUUCACACUAUACAUUCCAAUUUUGUAAAAAACACUAAUGAGUUUGUACCAUGGGCAGGAAUUCAAAGCAUGAUGUGGUUGCAGGUCGAAAGAAGGUUCAACAAACUAAACUGGAAGCUUGGAAUAUGGUCUUUAGUUAGAUUCAUCAAUCAGUUCCAAGCAAUUCAUCUUCUUUUUGGCGGGAUCAUCUCAUGUUUUUUGCAAUGACAGAAAAUUGUGGCUUGCCGGGGGACAUGAGACUUCUGUUCCAUCUUAAAAUCUAAGAUCUGGCCAAUAUUUUUUUGCAUAUCUUAGACAUGUUUUUGUAGCCAUACAUUCAAAGAAAACAAAACAUGCUAUAUUCUGAUGCAUAUGGUCAUUGUGUUGUUAACAAUGUAACUUUCAGAUGAAAGCUUUUUUCAUCAUAACUACUAUAUUAAAGAUGAACACACAUCUUUUUUACCAGAAUUUUGAGGCUUUUUAGGAA